rnacentral:rRNA from 1 species
UACGGAGGGUGCAAGCGUUGUCCGGAAUCACUGGGCGUAAAGGGCGCGUAGGCGGCUCAUGAAGGCUGUGGUGAAAGUCCGGGGCUCAACCUCGGAUCGGCCGUGGCGACUCGUGGGCUGGAGCACUGUAGAGGCGGGUGGAAUUCCGGGUGUAGCGGUGGAAUGCGUAGAGAUCCGGAAGAACACCAGUGGCGAAGGCGGCCCGCUGGGCAGUGGCUGACGCUGAGGCGCGACAGCGUGGGGAGCAAACGAGGAUU